UAUGAGGUUCCGAAUUAUGACCCU
rnacentral:siRNA from 1 species